UACGUAGGGGGCAAGCGUUGUCCGGAAUCAUUGGGCGUAAAGAGCGCGUAGGCGGUCCGGUAAGUCCGCUGUGAAAGUCAAGGGCUCAACCCUUGAAUGCCGGUGGAUACUGUCGGGCUAGAGUCCGGAAGAGGCGAGUGGAAUUCCUGGUGUAGCGGUGAAAUGCGCAGAUAUCAGGAGGAACACCAAUGGCGAAGGCAGCUCUCUGGGACGGUACUGACACUGAGACGCGAAAGCGUGGGGAGCGAACAGG
rnacentral:rRNA from 1 species